rnacentral:tRNA from 1 species
GUUGUGGCUCUGUGGUAGAGUGCUUGCCUAGCAUGUGUGAGGCCCUGGGUUCUAUUCUCAGCCACA